GAGAGUGAGUAAAGUGGCGAACGGGUGAGUAUCGCGUGGGUGAUCUACCCUUUGGAGGGGGAUAACACGGGGAAACCCGUGCUAAUACCGCAUAGGCCUGACUAUUCGGUUAGCCAGGGAAAAGUAAUUUGCCGAAGGAGGAGCCCGCGUCCGAUUAGCUAGUUGGUGGGGUAAGAGCUUACCAAGGCAACGAUCGGUAGCCGGUCUGAGAGGACGGACGGCCACACUGGGACUGAGACACGGCCCAGACUCCUACGGGAGGCAGCAGUGGGGAAUUUUGGGCAAUGGGGGCAACCCUGACCCAGCAACGCCGCGUGGAGGAUGAAGGUUUUCGGGUCGUAAACUCCUGUCUGGAGGGACGAAUAAAGUGACGGUACCUCUGGAGGAAGCCCCGGCUAACUCCGUGCCAGCAGCCGCGGUAAUACGGGGGGGGCAAGCGUUGUUCGGAAUUACUGGGCGUAAAGGGCGCGUAGGCGGCACAGGAAGUCAUGGGUGAAAUCCCUCGGCUUAACCGGGGAAUGGCCUGUGGAACCACUGUGCUAGAGUGCUGGAGAGGAAAGUGGAAUUCCUAGUGUAGCGGUGAAAUGCGUAGAUAUUAGGAGGAACACCUGAGGCGAAGGCGGCUUUCUGGACAGACACUGACGCUG
rnacentral:rRNA from 1 species